rnacentral:tRNA from 1 species
AGAUGGAUGCUCGCUGGUUUGGGCGCUUAUGUGUCAUCUAAGAGUUUGUCCGAUCGUUACAGUCCUGUCUAG